rnacentral:rRNA from 1 species
AUUGAACGCUGGCGGCAUGCCUUACACAUGCAAGUCGAACGGUAACAGGUCUUCGGAUGCUGACGAGUGGCGAACGGGUGAGUAAUACAUCGGAACGUGCCCGAUCGUGGGGGAUAACGAAGCGAAAGCUUUGCUAAUACCGCAUACGAUCUACGGAUGAAAGCAGGGGACCGCAAGGCCUUGCGCGAACGGAGCGGCCGAUGGCAGAUUAGGUAGUUGGUGGGAUAAAAGCUUACCAAGCCGACGAUCUGUAGCUGGUCAGAGAGGACGACCAGCCACACGGGGACGGAGACACGGCCCAGACUCCUAGGGGAGGCAGCAGUGGGGAAUUUUGGACAAUGGGCGAAAGCCUGAUCCAGCCAUGCCGCGUGCAGGAUGAAGGCCUUCGGGUUGUAAACUGCUUUUGUACGGAACGAAAAGACUCUGGUUAAUACCUGGGGUCCAUGACGGUACCGUAAGAAUAAGCACCGGCUAACUACGUGCCAGCCGCCGCCGUAACAC